CCCUUAGAUGUCCUGGGCCGCACGCGCGUUACACUGAUGCAUUCAACGAGCUUAUAACCUUGGCCGAGAGGCCUGGGCAAUCUUGUUAACGUGCAUCGUGAUAGGGAUAGAUUAUUGAAAUUAUUAAUCUUGAACGAGGAAUUCCUAGUAAACGCAGAUCAUCAAUCUGCAUUGAUUACGUCCCUGCCCUUUGUACACACCGCCCGUCGCUACUACUGAUUGGGUGUUCAAGUGAGAUGCUUAGACCCUUGUUGCAUGGUUCAUUAUUGUGCUCCGAAAGGAAAAAGUUUCAAGCUUGAGUGUCUAGAGGAAGUAAAAGUCGUAACA
rnacentral:rRNA from 1 species